CCCCUGGCGUGGGCACAGGCAAGAAAAACCUGGCAGCCCUCUACCCUCUUUUCAGUGCAUUUGGGGCCUGGCUGGAAGGCCCCUCCGGUGCUCAAAGGGCUGCUGCGAGAACAGAGGGAGAGCUCUCCAAACCCCAGCACGGUUCUCAGUCAUCAUGAGACCGGAACACAGAGGCCCACACACGACCGCUGGACAUGUUUAAGAAAAUGCCAAUGUAUUUCCACUAGAAAAAUCCUCUUUUCCUAAAUACAUGUCUCUAUGUUGAAUAAGUUAAAAUAGCAUCUCC
rnacentral:lncRNA from 1 species